AGCGCACAUGGUGGAUGCCUUGGCAGUCAGAGGCGAUGAAAGACGUGACAGCCUGCGAUAAGCUUCGGGGAGGCGGCAAUAUCCUGUGAUCCGGAGAUUUCUGAAUGGGGAAACCCACUUACCAUAAGGUAGGUAUCCUAAUUUAUUAGGAAGCGAACGAGGGGAAGUGAAACAUCUCAGUACCCUUAGGAAUAGACAUCAAUUGAGAUUCCCCUAGUAGCGGCGAGCGAACGGGGAGAAGCCGAUUAAUUCUAAUGUAGAAGAACAGCGUGGGAAAGCUGACCGUAGUAGGUGAUAGUCCUGUAUUCGAAACAUUAGAGUUAACAUAUUAAGUAGAGCGGGGCACGAGAAAUCCUGUUUGAAGAUGGGGGGACCAUCCUCCAAGGCUAAAUACUCCUGACUGACCGAUAGUGAACCAGUACCGUGAGGGAAAGGCGAAAAGAACCCCUGUGAGGGGAGUGAAAUAGAACCUGAAACCGUGUGCGUACAAGCAGUGGGAGCCCACUUGUUGGGUGACCGCGUACCUUUUGUAUAAUGGGUCAGCGACUUAUAUUCUGUAGCAAGGUUAACCGUUUAGGGGAGCCGUAGGGAAACCGAGUCUUAAUAGGGCGUUUAGUUGCAGGGUAUAGACCCGAAACCGAGUGAUCUAUCCAUGAGCAGGUUGAAAGUGCCGUAACAGGCACCGGAGGACCGAACCCACUGUCGUUGAAAAGCCAGGGGAUGACUUGUGGAUAGGGGUGAAAGGCUAAUCAAACUCGGUGAUAGCUGGUUCUCCCCGAAAGCUAUUUAGGUAGCGCCUCGGACGAACACCAUUGGGGGUAGAGCACUGUUUCGGCUAGGGGGUCAUACCGACUUACCAAACCGAUGCAAACUCCGAAUACCGAUGAGUGAUAUCCGGGAGACACACGGUGGGUGCUAACGUCCAUCGUGGAGAGGGAAACAACCCAGACCGCCAGCUAAGGCCCCAAAUUCCUAGUUAAGUGGGAAACGAUGUGGGAAGGCAUAGACAGCUAGGAGGUUGGCUUAGAAGCAGCCAUCCUUUAAAGAAAGCGUAAUAGCUCACUAGUCGAGUCGGCCCGCGCGGAAGAUGUAACGGGGCUCAAACUAGGAGCCGAAGCUGCGGAUUUGAAUUUGUUUUCAAGUGGUAGGGGAGCGUUGUGUAAGCCUGUGAAGGUGUGUUGUAAAGCAUGCUGGAGGUAUCACAAGAGCGAAUGCUGACGUGAGUAACGAUAAUGCGAGUGAAAAGCUCGCACGCCGGAAGAUCAAGGGUUCCAGUCCAACGUUAAUCGGGGCUGGGUGAGUCGACCCCUAAGGCGAGGCCGAAAGGCGUAGUCGAUGGGAAAUCGGUUAAUAUUCCGAUACUUGUUUAUAAUGCGAUGGAGGGACGGAGAAGGUUAUGUCAGCCUGGCGUUGGUUGUCCAGGUGAAAGGAUGUAGGUUUAUAGCUUAGGUAAAUCCGGGCUAUUUUAUACCGAGAUCUGAUAGCAAGCUGUACUUGUACAGCGAAGUGGCAAAUACCAUGCUUCCAGGAAAAGCUUCUAAGCAAUAGUUAUAAACGAAUCGUACCCUAAACCGACACAGGUGAUCAGGUAGAGAAUACCAAGGCGCUUGAGAGAACUCUGCUGAAGGAACUAGGCAAAAUGGUACCGUAACUUCGGGAGAAGGUACGCUGUUGAUGGUGAUAGGACUUGCUCCUUGAGCUGUUGGCAGUCGCAGAUACCAGGCUGCUGCAACUGUUUAUUAAAAACACAGCACUCUGCAAACACGAAAGUGGACGUAUAGGGUGUGACGCCUGCCCGGUGCCGGAAGGUUAAUUGAUGGGGUUAUCUUCGGAGAAGCUCUUGAUCGAAGCCCCGGUAAACGGCGGCCGUAACUAUAACGGUCCUAAGGUAGCGAAAUUCCUUGUCGGGUAAGUUCCGACCUGCACGAAUGGCGUAAUCAUGGCCACACUGUCUCCACCCGAGACUCAGUGAAAUUGAAAUUGCGGUUAAGAUGCCGUAUACCCGCGGCUAGACGGAAAGACCCCGUGAACCUUUACUAUAGCUUGACAGUGAACAUUGCUCCUACAUGUGUAGGAUAGGUGGGAGGCUUUGAAACUUUGUCGCCAGAUGAAGUGGAGCCAACCUUGAAAUACCACCCUUGUAUGCGUGAUGUUCUAACCUAGGGCCCUAAUCGGGCUUGGGGACACUGUCUGGUGGGUAGUUUGACUGGGGCGGUCUCCUCCUAAAGAGUAACGGAGGAGCACGAAGGUUGGCUAAGUACGGUCGGACAUCGUACGGU
rnacentral:rRNA from 1 species